CCGUUCUCAACGGGGUGCCGCGAGGCUGAGAUAACACCCGUCGAACCUGAUCCGGUUUAUACCGGCGGAGGGAUUUGAGAUCUGCUGUUUG
rfam:Plesiomonas shigelloides 302-73 genomic scaffold scaffold00012, whole genome shotgun sequence.